rnacentral:rRNA from 1 species
UACGUAGGGGGCAAGCGUUGUCCGGAUUUAUUGGGCGUAAAGAGCUCGUAGGCGGUUUGGUAAGUCAGGUGUGAAAUCUCCACGCUCAACGUGGAGGGGCCACCUGAUACUGCCAUGACUGGAGUCCGGUAGAGGAGUGUGGAAUUCCCGGUGUAGCGGUGAAAUGCUUAGAUAUGACACAGAACACCGAUUGCGAAGGCAGCUCGCUAAACUGUAACUGACACUGAGGCACGAAAGCGUGGGUAGCAAACAGG